GACAUAGGUGGCAAGCGUUAUCCGGAAUUACUGGGCGUAAAGCGUCCGCAGGUGGCUAUGUAAGUCUGCUGUUAAAGAGUGAGGCUCAACCUCAUAAGAGCAGUGGAAACUACAUGGCUAGAGUGCGUUCGGGGCAGAGGGAAUUCCUGGUGUAGCGGUGAAAUGCGUAGAGAUCAGGAAGAACACCGGUGGCGAAAGCGCUCUGCUAGGCCGCAACUGACACUGAGGGACGAAAGCUAGGGGAGCGAAUGGG
rnacentral:rRNA from 1 species